UACCAGCACCCCGAGCGGUCGGGACGAUUAUUGGGCCUAAAGCGUCCGUAGCCGGUCCUACAAGUCUUCCGUUAAAUCCACCUGCUCAACAGAUGGGCUGCGGAAGAUACUAUAGGGCUAGGAGGCGGGAGAGGCAAGCGGUACUCAGUGGGUAGGGGUAAAAUCCUCUGAUCCAUUGAAGACCACCAGUGGCGAAGGCGGCUUGCCAGAACGCGCUCGACGGUGAGGGAUGAAAGCUGGGGGAGCAAACCGG
rnacentral:rRNA from 1 species